GACGUAGGGCGCGAGCGUUGUCCGGAUUUAUUGGGCGUAAAGAGCUCGUAGGCGGCUCGUUGCGUCGGCUGUGAAAAACCCGCAGCUCAACUGUGGGCUGCAGCCGAUACGGGCGGGCUGGAGUUCGGUAGGGGAGACUGGAAUUCCUGGUGUAGCGGUGAAAAUGCGCAGAUAUCAGGAGGAACACCGGUGGCGAAAGGGCGGGGUCUCUGGGGCCGAUACUGACGCUGAGGAGCGAAAAGCGUGGGGAGCGAACAGG
rnacentral:rRNA from 1 species